AUCUAAAUGUCCAGUCACCAUUGAUAAACAUAUUUAACACAUUAAUUAUAUUUAGAUUUUUGCAGAUUACAAACGAAUACUGUCAAAGUUAACAAAGCACAACAAGGUUAAUUGCAGUGUAUCUUAAAAUUUGUUGAAGUGAAUGUCGUUUAAUAAAAAUCUAUAAUAAAUAUAACCAAGCUGAUCUCCCGGUUGUGGCACUUUAGACAGAAUAUAAACUGCAGAUGCAGACAUGUUAUUGCAUACCAUAACCUUUUCGUCAUAAUUUUAUUUGUUUGAUAAAUUUUGCAGACUUUUAAGAAGUGCCAGGUCACCUCCAGUUGUUGACGAUUAUCUUGUCUAAGGUAGAAAUAUAGUUCACAAGAAGUAAUUAUUUACAUUCCUAAGAAACUUAAUGAAAGGUGACAGUGCAGCUUGAUAGAUAAGAAAAUUUCGGUAAACGCGUAAUCAUCAGGUGAUUUUCGACGCAUGCUCAUUGGUUGUUAAACAGACCCGCCAACAUGGAUAACCGGCUUGAAUCUCAUUCGUUUUCAAACUCUCUUGAAAUUAGGUUAGUUAGUGCUUACCGGGUAUCAUGCCGUCCGAAAAAUUAGAGAAAGUUGUUAUGAAACCAUUUAAAAUGGAUCCAGCUCAGAAUAAUUCUCAACAAGAACUUGUCACAGAAGAUAAUGAAAAUAAUCCACGAGGAAUGCGAAAUGUUACUUUCCGCGAGUGGGUUGUUGUUGGUAUUUUGUGUUUUGUCAACUUGAUCAACUAUAUGGAUAGAUUCACUAUAGCAGGUGAGUUUUG
rnacentral:lncRNA from 1 species